AGAAGAAGAACGGACCGAUGAAUACGACGACGAAGACGACGAAGAUGACGGGGAAAGUCGCCAGCAGCAGCGGGAGCAAGAGCAACACGAUCCCGCGCAUCCCCUCUUCCUCGAGCGGCCUCAGCGCGACGAGUGCAAGCCUCAAGCGAA
rnacentral:ribozyme from 1 species